GAUGAACGCUGGCGGCGUGCCUAAUACAUGCAAGUCGAGCGAACGGACGAGAAGCUUGCUUUUCUGAUGUUAGCGGCGGACGGGUGAGUAACACGUGGAUAACCUACCUAUAAGACUGGGAUAACUUCGGGAAACCGGAGCUAAUACCGGAUAAUAUUUUGAACCGCAUGGUUCAAAAGUGAAAGACGGUCUUGCUGUCACUUAUAGAUGGAUCCGCGCUGCAUUAGCUAGUUGGUAAGGUAACGGCUUACCAAGGCAACGAUGCAUAGCCGACCUUAGAGGGUGAUCGGCCACACUGGAACUGAGACACGGUCCAGACUCCUACGGGAGGCAGCAGUAGGGAAUCUUCCGCAAUGGGCGAAAGCCUGACGGAGCAACGCCGCGUGAGUGAUGAAGGUCUUCGGAUCGUAAAACUCUGUUAUUAGGGAAGAACAUAUGUGUAAGUAACUGUGCACAUCUUGACGGUACCUAAUCAGAAAGCCACGGCUAACUACGUG
rnacentral:rRNA from 1 species